GAACGCUGGCGGCGUGCCUAAUACAUGCAAGUAGAACGCUGAAGGAGGAGCUUGCUCUUCUGGAUGAGUUGCGAACGGGUGAGUAACGCGUAGGUAACCUGCCUGGUAGCGGGGGAUAACUAUUGGAAACGAUAGCUAAUACCGCAUAAGAGUAGAUGUUGCAUGACAUUUACUUAAAAGGUGCAAUUGCAUCACUACCAGAUGGACCUGCGUUGUAUUAGCUAGUUGGUGGGGUAACGGCUUACCAAGGCGACGAUACAUAGCCGACCUGAGAGGGUGAUCGGCCACACUGGGACUGAGACACGGCCCAGACUCCUACGGGAGGCAGCAGUAGGGAAUCUUCGGCAAUGGACGGAAGUCUGACCGAGCAACGCCGCGUGAGUGAAGAAGGUUUUCGGAUCGUAAAGCUCUGUUGUAAGAGAAGUACGAGUGUGAGAGUGGAAAGUUCACACUGUGACGGUAUCUUACCAGAAAGGGACGGCUAACUACGUG
rnacentral:rRNA from 1 species